rnacentral:rRNA from 1 species
UGCAUAUCAAUAAGCGGAGGAAAAGAAACCAACAGGGAUUGCCUCAGUAGCGGCGAGUGAAGCGGCAAGAGCUCAGAUUUGAAAUCGUGCUUUGCGGCACGAGUUGUAGAUUGCAGGUUGGAGUCUGUGUGGAAGGCGGUGUCCAAGUCCCUUGGAACAGGGCGCCCAGGAGGGUGAGAGCCCCGUGGGAUGCCGGCGGAAGCAGUGAGGCCCUUCUGACGAGUCGAGUUAUUUGGGAAUA